CGAGAGCCCUGCAAUGUCGGAAACACAGUAGAUAGAAAAUGUCGAAAAAAUACAGACAUUUUAUGAAACAGACCAAAAAGAGAGGCUCAAUUUCUUCCAAAACUGCUUAAGUAUACCCAAGCAGCCUCUUUUGCCUCUACUGACUCCGACGAGAGCAGAGAACCGACCCCAAAAACUACCUACCAACUCUGGAAAAAGAACAAGUCACCAUCCAUAGCAACCGAAGAAACGGAGAGUGAAGACGAAAUGCCGCCACCAAAACCAAUCAUGAAAAAAGCACCCCCGUCUGAUGCGGACGAUGACACGGACAGUGACGACGAGCCCG